AUGGGCCUGCCCAUGAUCUGGAUGGUGGCCACCAGCAUGACGGCGGCGUUGGCCUCGUCGUGGGUCGUUAGCGCUCUGUCGCGGUUCGUGUGGAGGCCCCGCGCCAUAAUCCGAGCGUUCCGGGCGCAGGGCGUGGGCGGGCCGGAUUACCGGUUCCUGGUCGGCAACAUCCGCGAGAUAAAGCGGCUGCUCGUCGAGAGCGUAGGGCUCGUGCUCGACGUCGGCUGCCAUGACUACGGCGCCCUGGUGCAGCCACACUUUCGCAAAUGGAUGGCCCUCUAUGGACGGACGUUCGUCUCGUGGCCCGGGGAGAGGCCGGAAUUGUUCAUGGGGGACGUGGACAUGGUGAAGCAGGUGCUCUCCGACCGCACGGGGCUGUUUCCAAAGAAUCCCGUGAACGAUCACUUCACCCGCUUGCUUGGUAAGGGGCUCAUCCUCAUCGACGGCGACGAGUGGAAGCGCCACCGGAAGGUCGUCCAUCCAGUCUUCAAUGUCGACAAGCUAAAGUUGGAAAAGAAUAAUGGGCAGGUGGAGGUUGAUAUUAGUUGUCAGUUCGAGGAAGUUGCAGCGGAGGUGAUCUCACACAUGGCAUUUGGGAGAAACCACAAAGAGGCCAAGGAAGUCUAUCUGGCGCAGAAAGAGCUCCAAUUUCUUGCCUUCUCUAGUAUAUUCAAUGUUUUCAACCUCGUCCCGGGAUUCAGGUACCUUCCUACCAAAAGUAACUUAAAGAUGCAUGCACUUGAGAAAGAGGUGAGGAGCAUCCUCGUCAACAUCAUAAAGAAUCGGCUCAACUGCAAGGACACCAUGGGAUACGGGAACGACAUGCUUGGAAUCAUCAUGAAUACUUGCGCGCCAGAGCACGUGCACAACCCACUCAUGAGUAUGGACGAGAUCAUAGAAGAGUGCAAGACCUUCUACUUAGCUGGCCAUGAGACCACCACACAGCUGCUCACCUGGACCAUGUUCUUGUUAAGCACGCACUCAGAGUGGCAAGAGAAGCUCAGGGAGGAGGUGAUGAGAGAGUGUGGCAGGGAAAUCCCUACUACUGACAUGCUCAACAAUAUGAAGCUGGUUAACAUGUUCAUUCUAGAAACUCUUAGGCUAUAUGGCCCUGUCACAAACAUCCAGAGGAAAGCAGGCUCCGAUAUUGAGCUCGGGGGCAUCAGGGUACCGGAAGGAACAAUUCUUUCGAUCCCAAUCAAGACGAUACACCGCGACAAGGAGGUCUGGGGCGAGGAUGCUGAAGAUUUCAAACCUCAAAGGUUCGAGAACGGGGUGAGCGGGGCUGCCAAGCACCCCUAUGCAUUUCUACCUUUCUCUAUGGGUCCGAGGACUUGCAUUGGACAAAACUUUACCAUGAUUGAGGUGAAGGUUGUAUUCGCAAUGAUACUGCAGAGGUUCUCAGUAUCUCUCUCCCCCAAGUAUGUCCAUGCGCCGAUGGAUGUAUUCACGAUACGCCCGAGAUACGGUCUUCAAGUGGUCCUCAAGAGCUUGCAGAUGUAG
rnacentral:rRNA from 1 species